AGAGUUUGAUCCUGGCUCAGAACGAACGCUGGCGGCAGGCCUCAAACAUGCAAGUCUAGGGGGUGCAGCAAUGCAUCACCGGCGGACGGGUGCGUAACGCGUGGGAAUAUACCUAUUGGUUCGGAACAACUGCGGGAAACUGCAGCUAAUACCGAAUGUGCCCUAACGGGGAAAGAUUUAUCGCCAAUGGAUUAGCCCGCGUAGGAUUAGCUAGUUGGUGGGGUAAUGGCUCACCAAGGCUCCGAUCCUUAGCUGUUCUGAGAGGAAGAUCAGCCACACUGGGACUGAGACACGGCCCAGACUCCUACGGGAGGCAGCAGUUGGGAAUCUUGGACAAUGGGGGAAACCCUGAUCCAGCCAUGCCGCGUGAGUGAUGAAGGCCUUCGGGUUGUAAAACUCUUUCGACGGGGACGA
rnacentral:rRNA from 1 species